rnacentral:sRNA from 1 species
GCCCGCUUCUGGCUGGAGUGCGCACCAAGCGGCAGUGGGUUCGCCGCUGCUGUAGUUCCCCGGCUGGCUGCGGUCACUGGUGCCAGUGCUCAGGCGCCUGCUGCCCUUGACCUCCCGCCCCGCGAGCCCUAACUCAGCUCAGGAGGACCGGCUGCCGCCGCCGCCGCCGCCAGAGCCUUGGCUGUCCAGUUGCCAGUCCUACCACGGUCGGAGGUAACCUUCCUGGCUCCAGUCACACGGCCAGAUAAGGUGGUGUGUGUGGGCAUGAAUUAUGUGGACCACUGCAAAGAACAGAACGUGCCCGUGCCCAAGGAGCCCAUCAUCUUCAGCAAGUUUGCCAGCUCCAUCGUGGGGCCCUAUGAUGAGGUGGUCCUCCCACCACAGAGCCAGGAGGUAGACUGGGAAGUGGAGCUGGUCGUGGUCAUUGGAAAGAAAGGCAAGCACAUCAAGGUGAGGUGGAAAGGGUGGGCUCCCAGGCCACAGUGCAGCAGAGGCCCCAGCUCCAGCCUCUCCUAGUUCUGACUUCGCUCAGCAACACACGGUGCCAGCUGUCCCUGACACUAGGAAGCAGUCAGCCUCCUUGCUCCCUGACACUGCCUUUCCCUUCACCCACCUUUAGCUGGCUCUGGCUACUAACAUGGGAUAACAGCUUAGAGAUCCCUUGCCAUAGGUGUUGGUGUCACUCGUGAUCUAACCUCCUGUAUGGCCAAAUCCCCUGCUCCCAUAGGCCACAGAUGCCAUGGCCCACGUGGCCGGCUUCACUGUGGCUCAUGACGUGAGUGCUCGUGACUGGCUAACAAGACGCAAUGGGAAACAAUGGCUGCUGGGAAAAACCUUCGACACCUUCUGCCCUCUGGGCCCUGCCUUGGUGACCAAGGACAGUGUAGCAGAUCCACACAACUUAAAGAUCUGCUGCCGAGUGAAUGGGGAAGUGGUCCAGAGCAGCAACACCAACCAGAUGGUAUUCAAGACAGAGGACCUGAUAGCCUGGGUCUCCCAGUUUGUCACCUUUUACCCAGGGGAUGUCAUCCUGACUGGGACUCCCCCAGGUGUCGGUGUAUUCAGGAAACCUCCUGUCUUUCUCAAGGUAGGUUAGCGAAAAGCA